GCAGGCAGGGAACAGAAAACCAAGGAAAAAGCAGAAAAACUGAGAAAAAGGAGAAAAAACCAGGACACUCACCGUCAGCCGGGCUGCCACCACAACACUUUCUAACAUAACCAUUAGGAUUUUCUUACCAAAUUAAUGUUUGGCUUUGCAGCAGCAUCGUGUCCCGCCAGGGUUUCACAAACUAGAACAGAAUGAAGUCACAAUAAGACAAAAGCAGGAAAAGCAACAGACACAUCGUGUUGAUUUUUCAGACAAAAUUGAUAAUCAGUUCAUGAGGAAGCACAAUACAACCCACAGGGACAAAUAAGAUAAACAGCACCAAGGGCAUUUAAACCAAUGAAUACAAUCACCAUUCUUGAAUUCAGAGCUGGCUGUUUUGAAAUGGCUAGAGCAACAGAUGCAGGUGUGGCAAUACAAGAGGUGGCAGGAGUUGGUACCUGAAGCACCAGUGAGAACAGCUGGAACAACCCGACAGGUAGAUAAUGAUGAUGAUGAUGAUGAUUACUUGAAUGUCACAAAAAAAAUUUUUACAGUAGCUUUGCGGAAUGAAAUCCACAAACACAGCUCUGUGUUCCCCCAGAGAUAUCUGCCCUUUGUGGUGGAGAGGACAUGUCUCAAUCUGCAAGAUAUCAAACAAGGCAGAUCCAUCUGUAGUACCACAUUCAUGUGAACAAGACAGAAUAAACAGUAUGCUGUAACUUGACUGAAAGGAACCAGAUUUACCUUCUGAUAAAGAUCAAAUGCCGUUUUUAUUUAGAGGCAAUCUUGAAGAAACCAUAACAAAGAAUGACUUAUAAGCUAACAAUUAUUAUUAAAGCAGCUAUAACUGAUAUUUUUAUAACAUUUAUGACUCAAAUGACAAUGUGAAAACAAUGUGACAAUGUGAACCUACAGGAAAUUAUCUCCCAAAUCUGCAGUUCCCUUCGGCUUCACUGAGCUUUCUAGUCAGUUUCUGCUCAUUGUUUGUUCUCACCACUCUCGAAGUGUAAAUCAGCUAUUGCAGUUUUGAGUUUUUUCAUACAUAGUCAACAUUUAAACAUUAAUUGACAAUAAAGUGACAGACACUAA